rnacentral:rRNA from 1 species
CAAACUGGAGAUGGCGACCGGCGCACGGGUGAGUAACACGUAUCCAACCUGCCGAUAACUCGGGGAUAGCCUUUCGAAAGAAAGAUUAAUACCCGAUGGUAUAAUAUAACCGCAUGGUUUUAUUAUUAAAGAAUUUCGGUUAUCGAUGGGGAUGCGUUCCAUUAGGCAGUUGGUGAGGUAACGGCUCACCAAACCUUCGAUGGAUAGGGGUUCUGAGAGGAAGGUCCCCCACAUUGGAACUGAGACACGGUCCAA